UUUAUAAAAAAUAUUUUUUAAAUAUAAAUUAUUUUCUGCAAAUAAAUAGAGAUUUAUAAUUAAAAGAAUUUUCAUUUAUAUUAUACACGUUGGAAAAAGAAGCAAGCAAUUUGAUGGACCGAAAAAUAAUCUAGACCGAUGUUGGGCCGAAAAUGUAUUUGAUUUUGGGCAUGAAAGCCCAUUAAAUGUCCAUCAAAUACAUUAGGUAAAAUCACAAGUUUGCCUGCUCAGGGUUUGCGUUUCGAUUUCACUCCAUCCUCAAACAGAUCAUACACAUUACACGCAGUACACACCGUAUUCUCUAUUCCUUGUGAUGAAUCUUGAUGCGUUGGAUUCAUCUGAUGAUCAUGGGAUCUCUUUUGUCAACGGUUAAAACUUAUUGUCACUGUACCAAUAACCAGACUCUUCCUACUCAAGGACACACGCAAUCAUCUUGAACAAUUGAUCAAUUGCCCGCCCAUAUUCACCUAUCGAGUGGGGCCACCUUAUAUUACCACAGACAGGUGUCGCACUUCCAAGCAUGAUCUACAGGUCACUGACCCUUGGUUGAGACACAUCAUCAGUGGAGGGCCCACGCGUAUGGUGUUAUCAAGGUGGCUUAAGAUGGCCAGAUAGUCAGGUGGUCUGGUUGAAAUCAAACUAAAAUCUAAACCCACAUCGUUCAUUGAGUUCAUUAUAAUAUUCUUUAUAAUGCGAAGCGAAAUGUGCAACGCUUGUCCCUUCGGGGACAUCCGAUAAAAUUGGAACGAUACAGAGAAGAUUAGCAUGGCCCCUGCGCAAGGAUGACACGCACAAAUCGAGAAAUGGUCCAAAUUUUUUUUUGAUCCAAAACCUUCUCGAUUGGCAGCUCUGCUUUUUUCGUGUCUCUCUGGUUUUUGUUCAAACACCUGUGCUGCAACAUUUCUUAGCUAUUGCCAACAGCAAGGGAGUAGAGUUCCAUUCGAGAGUUGUAAGUCUUAGUAGCUGAGGCCAUGGCAUGUUUGAUAGCAUCUUAGCUUUAGGCCUUGACCAAUCUAGGCCUGAUCACAAGUCAGAAUCCACUUGUGAGCCUAAUCAGAUGAUGGAAUCUAUCAGGUUGGAAUUGAACUUAGUCUCUUUUUAACAAUAGUUUCUCUCUCUGAUUUCACAUUUUGCCUUGGAUGAUUUCUUAGCUACUAGGAUCAGCACUGGAGAUUGCAUUCAAAAUUUCUUAGCUAUUGGUUUCUUUUUUUUCCUUUAUUAAAUGAUUGCAGUAUGGCACACUGCAGGAGUUUGUGCUCCAGAAUGGUUUAGCAGCUCUAGGAUGAAUCUACUAUUCAGGACUGAAGCUCUUUGCCAUUCUGCAAAUUUAUGAACUCUUUGUCUGUGAUUUAUUUAUUUAUUCAUUUAUUUUUAUUUCACUGUCGCUUUGCUUGCAAGAUAUUUUUUCAGAUAACUCCUGUGUGGUUUUUGUUGAUAAUUAAUUAUCCAGAAAAUCAAGCACCUGGAGUUUUUUUAUUGGGUGUAAGGGGACUUAGAUGCACAAGGCCAAUUUCUUCUUAGAAGUAACAUGCUUCCUAUAUAAUUUAAUACAAAUACAGAAGGUAUCCUAGUUUAGACUGUUAUGAAUUGAGAUGUAAGCUAAUAGAGCAGCUUUAACUUCAUGUUUAAGCACAGUUGUAAGUACUAGGAGCCUAGCCAACCCAUUGCAAAUUUGAUAAUGUGUUAUUAUUGGGUCUUGACCAAUCUAGGCCUGACAAGUCAGAAUCCACUUGUGGGCCUGAUGAGAUGAUGUAAUCCAUCCAUGUUGUGAAGUCAUCUAGUUGGAAUUGAACUUAGUCCCACAUCGUUUAGUUAUGCAAAGUUGAAAGCCUUUAUAAAAAUUCAACAGAAACAAAUGGUUGUCCCUUCGGGGACAUCCGAUAAAAUUGGAACGAUACAGAGAAGAUUAGCAUGGCCCCUGCGCAAGGAUGACACGCACAAAUCGAGAAAUGGUCCAAAUUUUU